rnacentral:lncRNA from 1 species
GGUGGCUGUGGUCCAUCCCUGGGGUCACCGGGCCCUGUGCCUCCGCUCCUCCCAGGUCCACCCAGGGCGGGUGCCUGCUCCCCACCCAGCCUCGGCGUCUCCACCUGCCAAAUGGGUUCCAGCUCUUGUCCUCUGUGGUCUGGGGUGGGCACCCAGGAAGUGAGACUUGCGAGGCACCCCUAGGCUUGGUCUCAAAGGGAGAAAACAUCCCCUGAGCCUGCUCCAGAGCCCCCAAGUAGAAAUCUCUGGGUGACUGCCUUUGCCCUGGGGGAGGGGGGGUGAUCCCUAGGGGUGGGUUCCCACUGGUCCCAAAGUGUGCACCAGGUCACUCCUGGAACCACAGGCCCUGGCUGCUCUCCCCAGCAUCCAUUUCACAGGUGAGAAACUGAGGCUGGGACUGCAGGCUGAGUCUGUAUUCAGUGAGGAAUGCACCAGGCCUGCACCUAUUAGACACCUGCUGCGUGCCCUGACUUGGCACCAAGGACCCUGGGAUAAGCCGACCUGCCAGGGCCAAGGAGAGCCAUGUUCAGGGAGGGGUCUGGAGAACUUCACCAGGUAGUGGCCUUUGAAGGUGACCCACGCUGGUAAAACUCAAACAGGGCAGAAGCAUUAAAAUAACCACCCUCGUCCCACAGCCUUGCCUCGCGAAGGAAUCCCGGCCUCCGGUUCGGGAGCAUCCUCCCAGGCCUCCUCCAGAACAUUCGCUCACACACGGAUACUCAGGCUCGCAGACGUAUACGGACGCACACGCAUAUGUACGCAGACACACGUGCACCCAGACUCACAGGAACACGCGGACACGUGGGAACGCUGAUUACGUAAAGAGGUUGGUCAGAAUAUUCUGUGGUGUGGGUGUAUUUAUGCAGACAGAGUUUCUAGAGAUGAAUCAAGGCGCAUUUGAUUUUUACGGGUUUUGCUAUAAGAAACCCCACCUCCUUUUCCGGCCCUCCUCCUGCCGCCCCAUCAAAGGCAUGUCGUGUUACCGGUCUGUCUCCCUCGCCGUGGGGCGUGGCGGAACUGAAGUUGCUAGGUGCAGGGUGGCCCGUGUCUAAACACUUCAUGGCUGAUGACACAUUGCCAGGGCUGUUUGGCUGGUGGUGAUGGGUUGCCCUGGGGUGUGGAAAUGGGGUAGCAUCCACCCCUCAAGAUCCAGGAAGAUGCCCUGGGCGUGAGAGCAAAGCCAAGGAGAGAAGUCUGAGGCCAGCUGCUGGACAGGACCCUUGACCUUCUUGAGGGAGGUGUCUGAGGCCUUUGGGGCUCUCUGGAUUUGUGUGGGCCACAAGCAUUGACUAUCCCCUGAAAAUGCAGUUACAACCAACUAAAAUAGACCCCCCCCGCCCCCCAGAGACCCCUAUGGAGAGGGCUCUCUCACGCCGGGGGUUUUCCGUGAACAUGUGGGUGACCUGUUACUCUGCCUGGGUUCCACAUUACCCCACGAUCUGUUGAGUGCUGGGGAGUUCUCUUCAAAUUCACUCUCCCCUGAUGGGGGUGACCCUAACCACAGCAGGGCCGGGGCUUUGACUGGUUGACACUGACUCCCGAGGUGUGUGAGUGUGUGUGUUGGGGCGAGGGGGCUGCGCAUCUUCCUGUCUCCCUGCCAGCAUUCCCCUCCUCAGCUUCCUCUGUCUGUGGACCAGCUCCGCGCACCAGCUCUGAAGGUGUUUCCAUUGGGUGAAGGCACUUGGUGGCCUUGCACGCUGCACGAGUUCUGAGCUUCAGAAUGUGUCACUGCAGGCUGUCGGGUUCAGGAGCCAGUCUCACACAGGUGAAUCCCGACAGGACCCACAGACAGAUGAGGACGGAGACAGGAGGAGACUGAGUCUGCAGUGUGCCAACCCUGGGCUGCCCCUGUGCUUGGCUGCCACACUGUCUCACCUGGGUCUGGGCUGAGGACCUGGCCCUGGAGACCAAGGACAUUCCAGAGCCUUGGUUUGGAAUCCUCAGUUCCGUGGACGUGGAUGUCCUCGUGGAGUGUGCACGAGCCAGACAGGCCUGGGCUGGAGCUCCUGCCUCUGCUCUCUGCGAGUCUGUUUCCCCACGGUCAGAUGGGAGAGUGAGGGCUCCCAGCUUGCAGAAGGGCAGGAACUGGUGCUGUUGACCCGGGGUGGCACUGGCAUGAUCUGGAGAAGAACCUGGCUUCUGGUUUGGGGUUGGCCCCCACCCGUGAGGCUGGUACCUGUUUUGUCUGUGGACAGGUUAUGCUGUGAGAUUGUCUUUGCCGAUAAUUUAUUUAACACAAGUUCACUGGGAUUAUAACAAUUUCACAAGCCAGUAGCAUACAGGAUAAUGUCUCUUAAUAAGGCAAUAAAGAAAUAAAAAGGGGCUGGCCCUGCGGCCUAGUGGUUAAGUUUGGCACGCUCCACUUCGGCAGUCUGGGUUUGGUUCCUGGGCACAGACCUACACCACUUGUCAGCAGCCACACUGUGGCAGCAGCUCGCUCACAAAAUAGAGGAAGAUUGGCACAGAUGUUACCUUAGGGCAAAUCUUCCUCAGCAAAAAAAGAAAAAGAAAGAAAUUGUAUACUCCAAACCAAUGAUCGACUAAUUACACUCUUGUUCCAGGCAAAGGGGAGAGGAAAGAAAUAAAGUCCAAAUUUACUUGAGGUGUCCCUUUCUCUGAGCUGAUUCUUGGACAAGUCGACUUAGAGCUGACAUCCAGCUGCCAUUGCAAAGUUCCAGCUAUUCCCUGGCCACAGUUGCUCUGCCACAGUUCUUGUGGAGAAGACCCCAGCAGCACCUGUCACCUGCGCUCCUGUGUGCUUACGGACAACAAAUGACGAAUGUCAACGACGGCUUCCUGGCACGGCUUCCUCGGCGUGGACAACCUCACUCUUAGAUGGGGCAGCUCCACUCUUGUCCUACAUAAGUGGGCUUGAAGUCGCGUCAAACCGAGACACAGCAGCCCCGCGUCCCAUGCUGCAGACGUCCACACCCGACUGGGGUGGUUUGUGUGCCGCAUGCGGUUGGAAUUCCUCCCCAGAAACAGCGCAGACUUCUCCAACCGGUUUUUAUUUUGUCCUUAAGCCACAUAUUUGAAAAUUACUUAAUCAAAGAGGGUCAUGAACUAAAUCUCAGGCCUGGCUCUGGGGCCCCAGGAGGGGAGUUCGUGAAC